GAUGAACGCUGGCGGCGUGCCUAAUACAUGCAAGUCGAGCGAACGGACGAGAAGCUUGCUUCUCUGAUGUUAGCGGCGGACGGGUGAGUAACACGUGGAUAACCUACCUAUAAGACUGGGAUAACUUCGGGAAACCGGAGCUAAUACCGGAUGAUAUUUUGAACCGCAUGGUUCAAAAGUGAAAGACGGUCUUGCUGUCACUUAUAGAUGGAUCCGCGCUGCAUUAGCUAGUUGGUAAGGUAACGGCUUACCAAGGCAACGAUGCAUAGCCGACCUGAGAGGGUGAUCGGCCACACUGGAACUGAGACACGGUCCAGACUCCUACGGGAGGCAGCAGUAGGGAAUCUUCCGCAAUGGGCGAAAGCCUGACGGAGCAACGCCGCGUGAGUGAUGAAGGUCUUCGGAUCGUAAAACUCUGUUAUAGGGAAGAACAUAUGUGUAAGUAACUGUGCUCAUCUUGACGGUACCUAAUCAGAAAGCCACGGCUAACUACGUG
rnacentral:rRNA from 1 species